rnacentral:lncRNA from 1 species
AAAAAUAGAAAAAUCUAGAUAAUUCAUUUAAUUCACGAAAAAUACUCAAAAUAUCCUGACAAUUUCAGGAAAAAUCCUAGAGAUAGAUUGGGAUAUGAGGAAUCUAAAUAAAAUAUCUGGAGCUCGAGAAAAGACUUAUAGAACUCUCCAAUAAAUGGACAAAGCCCUAGAAAGGUGAGAAUAAAUUCCGAAAAAUCUGGAAAAUUUUCAAAAAAAUCCUAAUCAUCAAAUAAACGCAUUUUAAAACCAUUUUCACACAAGGAAAAAGAAAAUUCAACCGGCAUGAAUGCAACACACAAGAACCUAUAGUUCAUUAAGUUAAUUUAGAAAAAAAAUUGUAUUGCCUAAUUCAACAAAAAAUCUUAAGACCUUAAAUGAACUCAUAUAAAAUCUAGAAUACUCUAAUAAUUUUUAUUAAAUUGCAAAAGGUUAGAUUUAAGGUGUUACAAUAUAAUGGCAUAUUAUGAAAUCAUGUCAUACUGGAAUGAGUAAGAGCCAUUAUCUGUUUGAUUCAUCGGAAUCGUUCUGGUUCUAAGUAAGUUCCUGAAGAAGAAGAAAAUAACAAAUCUACAAAACAAAUCCUUAAAGUGAAGCCUACUCAAAUUAAACAAAUGACCUAUAGGCAAGCAAGAGACUAUGCAAUUGUUAACAUUAUAAACUAGAACAUCAUCAUCAGGCCAGAAUCUGCACAAUAGAAGCAGCAAGCUUAUAGAAAGAUAAAUUGUUGCAUGCCUGCCGAGAAUCAUCGCUAUUGCACAUUGCACAAUACUAGAAUUUCACUACACAAGCAACAAGCUUAUAGAAAAACUGAUUGACCCGGCUCAAGUAUCAUAGAGCGUCAUGUCAUUCUUGCAACAAUACCAAAAUAGGAUAGAGGGUGCUUGCAAUGAUACCAAAAUAAGAUAGAGGAUGCUCAUGUUCUUGGCUGAGUAAAAGGUGCACCAAUUAAUAUCCGAAAUAAGCUACAGCUCCACAAGGUUCGACACCAGAAUAAAGCAAUACUUUGUAAUUAGGUGAUAACGCCAUAGAAUUGCUUAGACAACAUCUCGUUGUGUUAACACAUCUGAACGCUACGCUCUUCGCAGGGAUCUUGCUGAGGUUUUGACCAAUUGAGCUAAAAGAGUAUGGAGUUUAUCUACCAAUGAGUGACUUAUAUAUCAAACUAACUACUUAUUAUACAUUACAAAAAAGCUUAUUAUAAUUUGAAGUAGUUCUAAACAUCAAUGAAACAAGAUAGUGGAAAACACACCAUAUCACAAACAUCAAUAGAUAUUUAUGCAUUUGUCUAUAAACUUAGUCAAAGACAAGUUUGGCUGACAAAGCUAAAACGACUUAUAGUUUGGGAUGAAGGGAGUUAUAAUUUGAGGUAAUCUAUAGUUAUAAUCAUUAAUGAAACUGUUGUGGUUAGCCCUGUGAAAAUCAUAUCUAAGAACAAACAUCAAAUUGACCUAUAGUUUCCCUAUUCUUCUGAUGGCUACAGAUUAACCCAACAAGCAAGCAGUGCACAAAAAAUUGCAAAAUCUGUAUGGGGAAUCACAUUGUGUUUACCUUGGUAAGAAAUAUAGCUUGUUGGGAUGAGAUAGCUUUCACAUUUUGUGAAAUUGUGCCCUAGCUAUGAUCCAGCUUCUUGUGCCCUAAAUUGCAACAUAACAAGCUCAGAAACACACAAAAACGCUAGAUACAAAGAAACUACACACUCAGAUAGAUAGGAAGUGACCUGCUUUAGCACGGGAGAAUCAAGUAACGUGUUGCUGCCUGGAACAAAUAAGUCCUGAAUUGAAACAUAGAACUCAUGAAUAAUAUAAGCAGAGAAACUAUAAAACUCAUAUAAAGAGAUUAAAUUGUAUUAAGUAGUCUAUUUUAUACAUGAUUCUGCACUACGGGAAUCUGUUGUGUUCAGUAAAGUAUAACACAAUCAUUUAAAUUAUGUUCCCCCACUUUGAUUAGUUUAAACUUGUUAAGAUAAGACUAACGAUAGCAACAAAGAUUCUUUAUGUGGGAGCGGUCCUCUCACAGAUAAAUUGUUUAUACCAUUAUACCUUAUACACAUCCUGCCAUGAGAUGGCAAAUAUGUGGUGAACAAUAUCCCUAAAGACACAUAAGCAUAUGCUAAGCAUGAUAAGAGGCACAAGAUUUUCAGCCACUUCAAUCCAGUAAAGGUGGAACAAUUUAAGAUGUGGAUGAUAAGUGGGAUGAAAUAUAAAAUUGUUAAUUGCAAAGCCAGCUAUAGGACAUGGGAUCUUGUCGGCCAAGGUCGGUGGCGGCCACUGAGUCCAUCAAGCAAGAGAGGAUGUUGACGAAGUGACGAUGCGCGGGGGCCGACGGUCAUCCCCCUCUUGGUCGCCACAGAUCGAAGCAGCGUCGUCCUUGUCGCUGCCACCAUGGCAAUCGAUCCCUCUCUUGCAGGCAAGUAAAGAGGGAUGAAUCAAUCCUGAGAUGAAUCUCUCUAUAUUACCUUAUUGUGCUAAUAACAGAUAACACCUUGUACAAGCCAUUGUAUUUGUAUCAGCACUUUAGUAGCUAGGGAGCUUAAUUGUGUAACUUGGGAAGUCAUUCCCAAAUCCUUGUAUGAGUUCUAUCAAAAAGCAAUUCUGUCCAAAUACUAUGGGUGGCGGGGCAGGUUGAACGUCUGGAAUCUCUAGCAUAUGGGCUUGCUUCUUCUACUUCCUGGGCCGAGCCUGGCUGGCCCCGCAACACAUAUGUGGGCUUCUGGCAUUAAAAUGAAUUGUGGGGCAUUUGUGUUCUUAUCCCAGCCUCCAUAGGUGGCGCUUGCAACUCAAAAAAGAUUGUGUUCUUAUCCCCUGCUUUAAAGGGUAAUUGUGAUUUUGCCCUCAACUGUCUUGUGAAUAGUUGAGAAUUAAAUCACAAAAUUAAAAAAAUGUAGGUAAAUAUACCUAUGCACUUCAGAGUAGGGGCAACAUCGCAAAAAACCAAAAAGAAUUCACCACUGCGAUCAAUUUUGCGUCAAAUGCCAUUACAAAUUUACAAUCCUAUACUAUGAAGUCCCAUGAUUUGCAUUUCUUAUUUAAUUAUUUUCUUAACAAAGCAAACCAAAUGCUCUGGUGGUGACUGCAUAUUAUGUCUUCGACUACGUUAUGGCUUGACCUACAAGAGUCGAGACUGGUCUCAAAAGCAUCAACACACAAGUAUAGAACUAUAGAACAAAUGAACAAUCUAGUUUUGCAACUUAGAGAAAAUAGCAAGCUUAGCCACAACCCUCUUCAACCAAGAUACAAUUGACAAUUAGAGUAGGAGCAGUGGCGGAGCCAGCCAUGGCCCCUGGUGGGGCCCUUCUUCUUCCUCUCUCUUCUUCUUACUCCUUUCUCUUCAAAAAUGGAGGGGGGCUCAGGGGGGGCUCCAUUGUUUUUUAGGUGAUAGGGGGCUUGAGGCCCGCCCCCCUCGACCCACCGCUGGAUCCGCUGCUGAGUAGGAGCAUUUCGAAAGUCAAGCCUUGUUGCUUGCUCAUGGGCUGAGCUUUACCAUAUCAGGAACAGUCUGGACCACAAUUGCAGCAAAUGAGCAGCCACUAGUUUACUUAUCCUCACAUAACUUUAACAUUGCUCGAUACUUUACAUUACAGUUCAAGUACAUGGCAAAUGUAAGGUAGCUACAAGCCUAAGCUACCUACACAUCUUAAUCUUGGGGUUGAAUAUGUGUCCUUUGGCACUCCUCCACAGCUUUUAUCAGAAUUGACCUCUCUCUACGAAGAGCAUUCACUUCGUCGAUCAAUGCUUCCAAUCUCAGCUUCACCAAAAAAUACAAAAAAUUCGCAAUACCAAACAUCACAAAGGAAGCUACUUUGGUGAGAGUUAGCAAUGAUGCAACCUCUGCCCUGACCUGGAGCUGGUGGCUGCCUGUGUAGCAUGGACACUUGGUAGCCUAUAGAGGCUCGGUCUGCGGCCAGGCGGCGGUGCGUUUCGCACAGCUGUGUCACCGGGACACCGGCCUCCCUAGCGUGGUGGCUUUUUGCAGGCCUCGCGCGGCAAUGGCGGCCUUGCCAAGAACGAAGAUGGUGGCCCUCCUCCUGCGGGAGUCUUCGAAGGAAACUCUGCCCAGAUCCUAGUCGGGCAGCGGUGGCAGCGAUGUCGCAUCCCCCCUGGAGGCGCUGUCUAGAAGACCCUAUCGCUUUGGGGGCUACUGGCUUGGGUGUCUCGCUUCGGCCAUCCUAGCUGCACUGCGAGUCAUUGAUCACCUCACCAAAGGCGUGUCUACGUUGUGUGGUGGUUUGGUCGGCGACGGCGAAGGUGCAGCCGCGACAAGCUUGUUAGUAGAGUGAGUUUGGUUAGUAGAGGGGACUAGUAGAGUUAGUUAGCGGAGUAGAGUUAGUUUAGCGGAGAGAUGUCUAUAUUUGUGCACCAACUUGUAAGCUGGUAACCCCUUCAGUAAUUAAACCGGGCGGAUGCCUUUGAUCGGAAAAAAAACAAUAUAUAAUGAAAGAAAUCGAAUACAUAGAUGUAAUGUACUCUAGUCAAUGUAGCUCCGGUUUGUUUCUAUAUUAGAAUAUAUCUAUUAAAUCCAACAUAUAUUAUCAUACUACAAAAGUAUUUCAUAGAAACUUCUGUCCAUAUGAUGUUUAUAUUUGAAAAGUAAAUAUCUAGAAGUUACCGACAGCCAAAGUUUGACCAUACCUUUCAAGAUGUCGAAUUUGUGGCUAGCUUAGAGGGAUUAAACCGUAUUGCAGUAAUCUAUUAUAUAUCUGAUUCUGCGGGAAUACACUGUAAUCACUUAAACAUAAACACAAUCAUUUUACUUUUGUUUUUCCCCCUUUGAUCAGUUGAAACUUGCAAAGAGAAGACUAACGGUGGCAACAAAGAUCAUUACGUGGGAGUACUCUCUCUCUCAAAAAAAUUAUUCAUGCCAUACCUUAUACAUCCAACUAUCCCUUAGGCACAAGCGUAUACUAAAAGCAUGACAAGAGGCCCAAGAUUUUCGGCCACACCAAUCCAGUAAAGGUGGAACGAUUUAAGAGGUGGUCAAUCGGGUACUAGGUUCUUGAGAAAGAAAGAAGCUGGUUUGAAUGGGCCACACGUACAUGCGCAUGAUAUCUGGGAUGAAAUACAAGAGCCGGUUGUAGGAGAUGCGUACCUUGUUAUUGAUUGGCGGCGGCGGCGUUGAUCCGCUAGGUGCAGAAGAAGAAGAGCUAUGAUGACGGGAGCCUGUUGGCCAAGUUCGGCGGGCACGGAGUCCAUAUCGCAAGAGAUGAUGUUGACGAAGCGGCGGUGCGUGGGGGGCGACGACGGCCAUCCCCAUCUUGGUCGCCGCAGAUCGAAGGAGCGCGGCCCCUGCCGCUGCGGCCACGAAAGUAUGAAACGAUCGAUCCCUCCCUUGGCCGGCGAGUAACGAGGGACGAAAGAAAUCCCGAGACGUAUCUCUCUACGAGCACUCCCCAAAUCUGC